rnacentral:tRNA from 1 species
GGGCUGGUAGUUCAGUGGUAGAAUGCUUGGUUCGCAACCAAGAGGUCGGGGGUCCAAUUCCCCCCCAGUCCACCA